rnacentral:miRNA from 1 species
AUGAACCCGGUGGAACCAUUCGG